GUAUUACUAGCCAGACAUGACCUAGAUAGAUAUUCUACCAACUUGCGGUGUACUGUACAUUUAAUUUCUUGUAGUAUGACAAACACUGAUUUGAAUUCUCGGAAUGAUUUAAAAGAAUGACUUCACUGGAUAAAUAUAAAAAAUAGGAUUGCAUGGCUAUAUUUAUAAGAAAAAGGACGGUUGUCUGAACAGAAAAGUUAAGAAAAGUUGUAGAGUUGAUACUAGGAAUGGCAAAGGCAUAUCCAAAAAUUGGAACCAAAAAGUUUCCUUACACCAGAAGAGUAAAAUAUGACGAAGUUGACGGUAGAGACAUUAAACUUACAUAUGCUGAUAAAACGUUAACCACUAAUCAGACGAAAUACAAAUGCCAUGCAGAAGGUUGUCAUAAUGAAGUUGAUGCUGGCCAUAUUAAUAAGAAUACAAAUUUUAAGAUGGCCCCUUCCAGACGUACUGGGGAUGAAUUUCUUGACAUUAACAGAUCUCACGAUGACGAUGAACUUGAUGGAAGAUAUUCAAUAUUAGACGACGAUACAAACGUAGAAAAUAAGAAAAAUGUGUCAGGAUUUGAUAAAGCAACAAGUGUUGCGUUGACAUGCUGCUGUGGAAAUAAGUGUUGGAAAACUAAUGUAUAUUUUAACACUGAAGAAUAUCCUUUUCUGUUUCGUGGAAUAGAUUUAAUUGCAACAGUUUUAUCAACGGUCUUCUUCCUAUAUGAUGUGAUAUCAGAUGUAAUUCUGGCUGAAGAAUAUUACCGUCUACAAAUGGAUUUCAUUCGGAUUAACAGCAUCACUCAUCUUCUUUCCUCAUCUGGUCAUGAAUGCGAUCAAUAUAUCCUGGUAUUACCGCGACUAUAUGGCAGAAAAGAAUUAUGGAAAGACAACACAAAGUUGGAAAUGGUUUUUACGAGUAGUACUUUCCUUACCCUGCAUGCUUGGUCCUAUUGUAAGGUAAGCUUCUCAUACUGUAUACGUUUCUAAAAUUUUGUUUAUGUUGUAUGGAGAGCACCAAGCUCUCUGCACAUUAAAAAAAACUAAAAAAAAAAUAUAAUUAAGGGUCCAUGGAUGGUAUGUUGGAAGUCAAAAGGGUAUUCCCUGUUCAAAAUACCUUCUUUUUAUUAGCAUUCUAAAUUUCCCGUUUUCAUUUUUGCCGACGCUCUUCAUAUAAUCCAUCUAUUUCAUUUUAUUCUUAUUCAUGUUCCAAAUAUUUGCCUCUAGACAUUACGAAAACAACAUAAGAUAAAGUAGUCAUUUUAUUCUUAUUGUUUUCUUUGAAUUAGUUUGUGACACUGUAAAGCCUUUUCGCUCAAAAUAUCUAUCUUCUUCUAUUGCCUUACACAACUAAACUAAACGAUAUCGACACACCACAUUUUUUUGGUUUGUUCCAUUAUUUUGUCUUAUCAUUUCUUUAAAGUAAUUUGAGUUUUCUUGAGUUGCUAUUAAAAUCUUCCAAACAUAAGUUUUGCUUGCAUCGUGAAUUGUUAAUAGAAGUGGGAACUUUUGUUUUUAUUUUAGAAAUGUUGAAUACAUUUAUUAUGGAUGUAAAAGUAGAUCUGCAUCAUUGUCGGACGGUAGAAGAAGUUAUUUUAUAAGAAUGUUUUAUACGAAGAUGCAGACGCUGCGAUGUUAAGGAUGUUUGAAGCUUUCCUAGAAUCUGCUCCACAGCUAGUUCUACAAAUAUAUAUAAUUAUGACAGAAACACAAAAUGACAACUCUACUGAUGCGUAAGAAAAUAUUAUUUUGAUCUUUUUAGUUCAGUAAGAUUUUUUUAAGCGAUUGCACUGAUUUUUUCAUUGCAAAUAUCGUGAUUUUGACAAAUUUUAUCUGUAUAGAAAAUUUACAUAUGACGUUAAUAUAUGUGAUUGUACGAAGCAUUGUAGAAAAUAUUUGCACAUGUGCUAUGUCGCUGCUUUUCCCCAAUUAAUUUGUGCGAAAAUUAUGUUCAAACAAAAUAUCAAACAAGCAAAAUACUUAUAUUUUAAAGACCCUUUAAAAAUUGAAGAUGUAAAUCUUAAAUCUACUCAUUUUUCAUACAAAACCUUUAAUAAUGGAAGCAUACGUCCGUUCUGUGUUGAUUAAUACAGGAUGUGAAAAACGUUUUCUGAUAACCGACAAAAAAAACUGUCAACGUAAAAUAAGUUAAAAAUGUAAUAUAGUUCUAGAUGAAACAAUAUGUUUGUACUGUUUUCAUCAUAUUUUGUAGAAAUUGUUCGAGUAGCAGCCAUGUUUGGAUCUUGGGUCGGAGUCUCCUGGACGUUGGUAUCCUAUCAUAAAGCCCUCAGAGCCUCGCAUAAUAUCAAGGAACAGGGCCUAUCUUCCUGUGGUGUGAUUUUCUACUAUAUAUGGAGAGCUUGUGAAGUUGCACCUAGAACGAUAGUGUUAGCAUUAUUUGCAGCUCAGUUCGUAUUCAAAUGCUAAUAGCUAUAGGUAUUCAUUGGAUUGCUAUGACAAUUUGGUUAGGAUGUCAAAAGCAGGAAAUGAUGAAUAAAAAUUCUAGAGAUAAAUGGAUAUUUAACAUUGUUUUCGGAUACGUUUUGAUAUUUUGUUUCCAAAAUGUACAAGGAAGGUACAAACAAGAUACAGAGCCAUGUUUUAUUACUUUGUAACAUUUUCUGAAAACAUCAUCAUGUUGAUACUGUGGGCAUAUUUUACACAACAUAAAAGUGAAUGGUUUUAUCUUGCUGCUAUCGGUACUGUCACUUCGCUCAUGGUCAUUCAGAUUAUUAUCCAGCUAUUGUAUUAUAGAUUAAUUCAUCCAAGCCAUAAAGAAAUUGUACAACGUUAAAACAAUAGACCCUCCUAACGAUCAUUAAAUGCAUGAUUAAAACAUGUGUAUUGGUUAUGCAAUUAUUUCAUUCCUGCUAUGAAUAUGAUAUAAAAAUUUAAUGACUUUAAACAGUAAUCACAAACAUAAACAUUAGUUUCCUAAUUAGCAUUGUCAUUGUUAGACUAGAUAUUUCAAUGAAUUCACCUCAUAUUUUCUAAUCAAAGCAUGAAUGAAUAAAUUUGUAAAGUCUGUUUUAUAUGUAUUCAAGAUCACCUGAGAUCACCCCUGUUUUGGUUGGGUUGAUAUCUGUCGUUCUAUUGUCUUCUAAGUAAUGUUUUGUAGAAUGUUUUAAAUUCGUUUUUCUAUAUUUUGUCAUGGUCUGAUUUUCUACCACUUGUGAUUUAUAUGGUUGUCCUUUUUUUCUGCUUCUUACCUUUAUUGGUUACUUAUCAUAUGUUUAAAUGUUAAGAUCUUAAUUGUGUGUUUAUAAAACAUGUACCUUUCUUUUUGCAUGGGUAUAUUUUAGAAUAUGUUUUAGUGAAAAAUUUGAAUACCUU
rnacentral:lncRNA from 1 species